rnacentral:rRNA from 1 species
UGCCGCGUGCAUGACGAAGGCCCUCGGGCUUGUCAGUGCUUUUGUACUGAGAGCGAAAAGCUUGGGCUAAUAUCCCGAGGUCAUGACUCGCCCGUGAGAAUAAGCACCGGCUAACUACGUGCCAGCAGCCGCGGUAAUACGUAGGGUGCAAGCGUUAAUCGGAAUUACUGGGCGUAAAGCGUGCGCAGGCGGUCUUGUAAGACAGAGGUGAAAUCCCCGGGCUCGACCUGGGAACUGCCUUUGUGACUGCAAGGCUGGAGUGCGGCAGAGGGGGAUGGAAUUCCGCGUGUAGCAGUGAAAUGCGUAGAUAUGCGGAGGAACACCGAUGGCGAAGGCAAUCCCCUGGGCCUGCACUGACGCUCAUGCACGAAAGCGUGGGGAGCAAACAGGAUUAGAUACCCUGGUAGUCCACGCCCUAAACGAUGUCAACUGGUUGUAGGGUCUUCACUUGACUCAGUAACGAAGCUAACGCGUGAAGUUGACCGCCUGGGGAGUACGGNCGCAAGGUUGAAACUCAAAGGAAUUGACGGGGACCCGGACAAGCGGUGGAUGAUGUGGGUUUAA